AACGCCCGCGGUAUCCUGACCGUGCAAAGGUAGCAUAAUCACUUGCCUAUUAAUUGUAGGCUAGAAUGAAAGGACAAACGAGAAUACACCUGUCUCCUUUAAGUCCUUAAAAAUUUAUCUUUAAGUGAAGAAGCUUAAAUUCAUAUGCAGGACAAGAAGACCCUAUAGAGCUUUACCUAAAAUCUACAUAGAUAGAGCUAGCGGUUCGGUUGGGGCGACCGGGGGACAUUCAUCACCCCCAAACUAAAAGAUAUACCUAUCUCACCAAAGAUCCUUACUCAAGAUCAAAGAAUCAAGCUACCUUAGGGAUAACAGGCUAAUCCUCUUAGAGAGCCCUUAUCGACAAGAGGGGUUGGCACCUCGAUGUUGGCUUA
rnacentral:rRNA from 1 species